rnacentral:other from 1 species
UUUGCCCUGCGGUGUACGUGAUGUUGAUGGGCAUUUUGACCCAGUAUCUUUGAUCCGGGAGCCUUCCCCCGCGGUGGUGAGCUACUCCUCGCGAGUCAGCCUAAAGUUGCGGGCUCGGCGCCCACCUAGCAAAUGCUGGGGAUCGAACGCUCUCGGCACACGGCAUUCCUGCGGGGCACUU